CAACUUACCCGGCAGGGGAGCUACCAUGGUCACUAAGGUGGUUUUCACAGGGAAAGGUUCAUCCAUUGCACUCCGGAUGCACUGGCCCCUGUGAUUUCCCCAAGCACGGGAAAUGUGACUGCAUCAUUUGUGGUAGUGGGGAGGCUGCGUUUGUGCCCUCCCCU
rnacentral:snRNA from 1 species